UGUGAGCUCGAUGAGUAGGGCGGGACACGUGGUAUCCUGUCUGAAUAUGGGGGGACCAUCCUCCAAGGCUAAAUACUCCUGACUGACCGAUAGUGAACCAGUACCGUGAGGGAAAGGCGAAAAGAACCCCGGCGAGGGGAGUGAAAAAGAACCUGAAACCGUGUACGUACAAGCAGUGGGAGCCUCUUUAUGGGGUGACUGCGUACCUUUUGUAUAAUGGGUCAGCGACUUAUAUUCUGUAGCAAGGUUAACCGAAUAGGGGAGCCGAAGGGAAACCGAGUCUUAACUGGGCGUUAAGUUGCAGGGUAUAGACCCGAAACCCGGUGAUCUAGCCAUGGGCAGGUUGAAGGUUGGGUAACACUAACUGGAGGACCGAACCGACUAAUGUUGAAAAAUUAGCGGAUGACUUGUGGCUGGGGGUGAAAGGCCAAUCAAACCGGGAGAUAGCUGGUUCUCCCCGAAAGCUAUUUAGGUAGCGCCUCGUGAAUUCAUCUCCGGGGGUAGAGCACUGUUUCGGCAAGGGGGUCAUCCCGACUUACCAACCCGAUGCAAACUGCGAAUACCGGAGAAUGUUAUCACGGGAGACACACGGCGGGUGCUAACGUCCGUCGUGAAGAGGGAAACAACCCAGACCGCCAGCUAAGGUCCCAAAGUCAUGGUUAAGUGGGAAACGAUGUGGGAAGGCCCAGACAGCCAGGAUGUUGGCUUAGAAGCAGCCAUCAUUUAAAGAAAGCGUAAUAGCUCACUGGUCGAGUCGGCCUGCGCGGAAGAUGUAACGGGGCUAAACCAUGCACCGAAGCUGCGGCAGCGACACUAUGUGUUGUUGGGUAGGGGAGCGUUCUGUAAGCCUGUGAAGGUGUGCUGUGAGGUAUGCUGGAGGUAUCAGAAGUGCGAAUGCUGACAUAAGUAACGAUAAAGCGGGUGAAAAGCCCGCUCGCCGGAAGACCAAGGGUUCCUGUCCAACGUUAAUCGGGGCAGGGUGAGUCGACCCCUAAGGCGAGGCCGAAAGGCGUAGUCGAUGGGAAACAGGUUAAUAUUCCUGUACUUGGUGUUACUGCGAAGGGGGGACGGAGAAGGCUAUGUUGGCCGGGCGACGGUUGUCCCGGUUUAAGCGUGUAGGCUGGUUUUCCAGGCAAAUCCGGAAAAUCAAGGCUGAGGCGUGAUGACGAGGCACUACGGUGCUGAAGCAACAAAUGCCCUGCUUCCAGGAAAAGCCUCUAAGCAUCAGGUAACAUCAAAUCGUACCCCAAACCGACACAGGUGGUCAGGUAGAGAAUACCAAGGCGCUUGAGAGAACUCGGGUGAAGGAACUAGGCAAAAUGGUGCCGUAACUUCGGGAGAAGGCACGCUGAUAUGUAGGUGAAGUCCCUUGCGGAUGGAGCUGAAAUCAGUCGAAGAUACCAGCUGGCUGCAACUGUUUAUUAAAAACACAGCACUGUGCAAACACGAAAGUGGACGUAUACGGUGUGACGCCUGCCCGGUGCCGGAAGGUUAAUUGAUGGGGUUAGCGGUAACGCGAAGCUCUUGAUCGAAGCCCCGGUAAACGGCGGCCGUAACUAUAACGGUCCUAAGGUAGCGAAAUUCCUUGUCGGGUAAGUUCCGACCUGCACGAAUGGCGUAAUGAUGGCCAGGCUGUCUCCACCCGAGACUCAGUGAAAUUGAACUCGCUGUGAAGAUGCAGUGUACCCGCGGCAAGACGGAAAGACCCCGUGAACCUUUACUAUAGCUUGACACUGAACAUUGAGCCUUGAUGUGUAGGAUAGGUGGGAGGCUUUGAAGUGUGGACGCCAGUCUGCAUGGAGCCGACCUUGAAAUACCACCCUUUAAUGUUUGAUGUUCUAACGUUGGCCCCUAAUCGGGGUUGCGGACAGUGUCUGGUGGGUAGUUUGACUGGGGCGGUCUCCUCCUAAAGAGUAACGGAGGAGCACGAAGGUUGGCUAAUCCUGGUCGGACAUCAGGAGGUUAGUGCAAUGGCAUAAGCCAGCUUGACUGCGAGCGUGACGGCGCGAGCAGGUGCGAAAGCAGGUCAUAGUGAUCCGGUGGUUCUGAAUGGAAGGGCCAUCGCUCAACGGAUAAAAGGUACUCCGGGGAUAACAGGCUGAUACCGCCCAAGAGUUCAUAUCGACGGCGGUGUUUGGCACCUCGAUGUCGGCUCAUCACAUCCUGGGGCUGAAGUAGGUCCCAAGGGUAUGGCUGUUCGCCAUUUAAAGUGGUACGCGAGCUGGGUUUAGAACGUCGUGAGACAGUUCGGUCCCUAUCUGCCGUGGGCGCUGGAGAACUGAGGGGGGCUGCUCCUAGUACGAGAGGACCGGAGUGGACGCAUCACUGGUGUUCGGGUUGUCAUGCCAAUGGCACUGCCCGGUAGCUAAAUGCGGAAGAGAUAAGUGCUGAAAGCAUCUAAGCACGAAACUUGCCCCGAGAUGAGUUCUCCCUGACCCUUUAAGGGUCCUGAAGGAACGUUGAAGACGACGACGUUGAUAGGCCGGGUGUGUAAGCGCAGCGAUGCGUUGAGCUAACCGGUACUAAUGAACCGUGAGGCUUAACCUUACAACGCCGAAG
rnacentral:rRNA from 1 species